rnacentral:rRNA from 1 species
AGCGAACGCUGGCGGCAGGCCUAAUACAUGCAAGUCGAGGGGUAGCAAGAUUGUAGCAAUACAAUUGUUGACGACCGGCAAACGGGUGCGGAACACGUACACAACCUUCCUACAAGUGGGGAAUAGCCCAGAGAAAUUUGGAUUAAUACCCCGUAACUUAGCGAUGUGGCAUCACAUUGCUAUUAUAGCUUCGGCGCUUGUUGAUGGGUGUGCGGCUGAUUAGAUAGUUGGCGGGGUAACGGCCCACCAAGUCUACGGUCAGUAGCUAAUGUGAGAACAUGAGCAGCCACACGGGCACUGAGACACGGGCCCGGCUCCUACGGGAGGCAGCAGUAAGGAAUAUUGGACAAUGGACGCAAGUCUGAUCCAGCCAUGCCGCGUGAAGGAUUAAGGUCCUCUGGAUUUUAAACUUCUUUUAUAAGGGACGAAAAAAGGUCUUUCUAGAUCGUCUGACGGUACCUUAUGAAUAAGCACCGGCUAACUCCGUGCCAGCCGCCGCCGUAAUAC